GUUUUAGUUUUAUAAUUAUAUUAUAAAAGUUCAGACAAUAAAAAAUUAUAGGCAUGGGUCAGACAGGAACCAUUUCCACGGCCUCAUGACAAGGCCGCGAAGACAGAACCCUACGGCAAGGGCCCCCUUUUUUAAUAAAAAAAAGGAAAGCCCUACCGGUGUGGAUACGGAUUUUUAGAAAAUGCCCGUAUGGAAUUCGAACAAUUCUAUAAUGAUCCUUCCGCAGGUUCACCUACGGAAA
rnacentral:misc_RNA from 1 species